UACAAAUGCAUCCAAUCCAAAUAUAUAAUAUCCACAUGUACACAAUGGCAUGCAGUUAAACACCCAACAGUAUACAGUUCAUUGGGGUUUUCACAACUUGGUUGCAAAACAUGUAACAUCGCAGCCAUGUUUGGUAUUAGAUACCAGAUUUAGUUGCAAAAUAUGUUUAUGAUAUGGUUAAUAUGAUAGGUUGUUUGUACAUGUAUCAUAGAAAGAUUAUGUAGCUCGGAAAACAAACUGUAUCACAAAAUAUUUCUAUCUUUAGAAUUGAUAUUGAUAGCGAUUGUCACAACCACUUUCAGUAAUUCACUAAUUUACAUACUAGUAUAGCAAAAAACAUGUAGGACCCCCCUCCCGAAAAAAUGAUAUUCUCAACGAAUACUAUUAUUUUUUUACAGGGAGUAUAUAGGAGGCCGGUUACAUUAAUCAAAUCACAAAUUAGCUAUUACUGUACAUGAUAUAUCGUCUUUAAAUUUUGAAUAAAGUUAAUAUAUAUUGCUGAUGACGAUUGUAGGGUCAUUUCAUAUCCUGAUGUUUUGUACAUUGCAUAGCGAUACAUCAGAAGUGCGAAGACAAGGACCGUGAAUGAAUCCCAAAAUAAGUGAACGUCGUUGCAAGUUUUAGGAAAAGUUAAUCUGUAUUUUAUCAAUGCCAUGCAGCAUAUAAAUCAGACCCACCGCUGUGGGAAUUAUCUCUCAUGAGAAUAGUGAUAAAAUGCGAUCUGCAAGCUUACAGAAAAGUCGGGCAAACUGUUUUGGAGGAAGUAAACAGUGAAGUGGAACAGCGAUAAAGGUACAUGUAGCUGAAUAAAGUAUGGAUUGGUUUGAAAUGGGGAACACAUGUUUCUUCGGAUAAAAUGAGACCCAACCUUUGUGUAUCAGGACCAGUUAUAAAGACUAUAUGUUGGACACCUACAUGUAUACCAGACGUGGAAUAUUCAUGAGAUACUGACUGGAUGUGUUGGAAGGAUUUAUUGGCAACAACUUUCGUGAAAACAUAUCAGCGCGUCAGGGUGGAUAUUUUUCGAGGAAUUUUCAAUAGGAAGACAAUAUAAGUUUAUAUAGGCAUCUAGCGUUAGAAACCUUACUCUAUACGCUAUAUAUUUUCCCGAGUGUCGCAAAAAAGUACGAUUGUGAAAGCUUAGCGUGUAGGUCUUUAAAUCCUCCCAGGAACCAAUGUACCCGAAAUGCCAGAAAUUACAUAAAGGCUUCCUAGUUAAAUUUUGAUUAAUAAUGCGAUCAUCCCUCCGAAUUAUAGUUAAACAGAAUAUGUAGCUUUUUAGCGAUUAAAGAAAAUAAAUAAAUGCUACAUUUAUUCAAAUUAUAGUUAAAACAUUCCAAAACAAUGUUUGAUAAGACGACCAGUGUAGAUAAGUUGACUGUCCGCAUUGUGUGGGACCGCAUGAAAGAAUUGCAGCACAGUCAUUUUUUGUUUAUUUUUAAUGUUUCGACUUUGUGAAGAUGUCGUCUUGUGUUGGGGGAAAUUUACCCCCAAAGAAUUGCAACACACACACACACACACACACACACACACACACACACACACACACACACACAUUUUUUAGUUUAUUAUAAAGUCUUAAAAGUAAAAAUGUCGUCUUGUAUUGGGGGAAAUUUACCCCCAAAGAUAUUGCAACACAAUCAUUCUUUGUUUUUUUUAUCGCUUCGACUUUCUAAAGAUGUCGUCUUGUGUUGGAGGAAAUUAACUCCAAAGAAUUGUAACACAGAAACUUUUUUAAGGCUUUGACUUUGUAAAGAUGCGGUCUUGUGUUGGAGGAAAUUUACUCCAAAAAAUUGUAACACAGAAAAUUUGUUUAAGGCUUUGACUUUGUAAAGAUGCGUCUUGUGUUAGAGGAAAUUUAUUCCAAAGAUUUGUAACACGGACAUUUUUUUUAAGGCUCUGACAUUGCAAAGAUGCGGUCUUGUGUUGGAGGAAAUUUACUCCAAAGAAUUGAAACACUGUAAUUUUUAGGGUUUUAAUUUACGGCUUUGACUUUGUAAAGAUACGGUCUUGUGUUGGAGGAAAUUUACUCCAAAGAAUUGAAACGCAUACAUUUUUUUGUAAGGCUUUGUCUCUGUAAAGAAGCGUCUUGUGUUGGAGGAAAUUUACUCCAAAGAAUUGUAACGCAUACAUUUUUUUUGUAAGGCUUUGUCUUUGUAAAGAUGCGUCUUGUGUUGGAGGAAAUUUAAUCCAAGGAAUUGUAACACAGUCAUUUUUUUGUUUAUCAUUAAGUCUUCAAAUUUGUAAAGUUGAUGUCUUGUGUUGGAGGAAAUUAACCCCAAUGAAUUUCAACACAGUUAUUUUCUGUUUAUUUUUAAAGCUUUGAGAUCAUAUAGAUGUCGUUUUGUGUUGUGGGAAAUUUACCUCAAAGAAUUGCAACACAAUCAUUUUGUGUAUAUUCAUAUCGCUACGAUCCGAAUUUAUAUAGAUGUCCUCUUGUGUUGGAGGAAAUUUACCCCAAAGAUAUUGCAACACAGUCAAUUUCUGUAUUUCUUUAUCCCGUCGACUUUGUAUUGAUGUGGUUUUGUGCUGGGGAAGAUUUACCCCAAAGAAUUGCAACAGAUAUGCAUACCUGUAUAGAUUUUGAGGUUGAAAAUUUGUAAAGACGAUGUUUCAUCUUGGGGGUAAAUUUACCCGAACAGUGUAACAUAUAAUCCAUUGUCUCAGAUUAAUCGCUUGCAUAAAAUGCAUUGUAUUUGGGGGUAAAUUUACUCUGAAAAAAAACGAUUCGAUUUUUUUCUUGAAAAUAACAAUUUUUUGUAAAUAGAAUUUAAGUAUAUUCUGCAUAAUUUUUUGGAUAUGUCACAGCUUCACUUUCACAAGUAACUGUUUUUGCAUUUGUCUUUUACUUGUUUAUUCUCCUAACACCCCUAGGCCUCUUAAAAAUUCUUAAUUCCAUAUAUACAGAGAAGCUUGGUUAGUUUUUGGGGGUAAAUUUCUAUUCUGAAGAGUUUCUUGAUUUCUUGUUACGUGUUAUGCUGUGUUAUGCGGAAAAUAAAGCUUAAACUGUC